AUUAGCUAAGGUGUUAGGUGCAUAUAUCUAAUAUGUGACAUUGUGAGAUUAUUUUCCAUUUGAGCGGCCUUUACAAGGACCAACCAACAAAAACUGUUUUACGGCCGGAACGUGAUUUCUUUGUUUUUUCGCCAUAAGGCGACAACAUUAUUUUAAUAUGUGUAUAUUAUCGUGUUGAAGUGAUUCGUAUAAAUGAAAAACCGUAAAUAAUCAACCGUAGGCAGGUACACCAAUGUACACACAGGCGUGGAUGAUCGUCGUACAACGUAUAACUAGAAGUUAUCUGCAUUUUUGCCUCCUAAUAUAAAUGGCAGACUUCAACAUCCUUAUUAAGUGUACCCACGUGCCAUGUUGUCUUCGUCUUACAAACGCGUAACAUACCAACAAUUUCGUUCAACAUAAUUUAUUGGUAUAGGGACCUAUGUAUAUUUUAAAUUCGAAGCGAGUUAUGAGCAUUUCACAAUUAAAUGAAGUGCUGCAGGGACUGCCAUACUAGGGGGACACGAUUGGUGACUUGUUGAAGAGAACAACUUCAGUGAUAUUAAAAUAACAGUUUAUGAAUUGGAUUAUUCUGAAAGUAAAAUUUGGUAUGUUAUAUACGUAUGUGACAUGCGUUAGUAAGAUGGAGACAAUAACACACCAUGCGGGUACGACGUCGUUUUAACUAGCUAUGAAUGAAAAAACCCUUAACUUAACUCAAUAAAAAUAUAAUGAGACUUUUUUUUAUCGUUUCCUGAAAAGAUGUUUUUUUACUUUUUCCUUUUUACUCGCUCAUCGUCUCCAUUAACAAAAUGUACGUAAUAAAUCGCUGCAGUCGUUGACAUUCCCAGCUAUUUAACCGUUACGUUUUGAUCCGAAUAACCGACUGCACUCGUCAUGUAUAUAUGGCCAUCAUAAUAUAUUCAUAUCACGACUAAAACUUAUUCUCGUGUUAUACCGUUUUGUGUCUUUGUACUAUAUUAUAAGU